AUGUGGAAUGCGACCCCUGACGUCUUGCCGUCCCCAACCUCACCUCCAGUGCGCACGGCAACACCGGCUGUGUUCAUGGCUGGUAAUACCACCGCAUCGGAGCACCCCACCUGCUUGGACCCUUCCGUCAACAACCGCAUGCCAUCUGCUCCGACCGUCGUUGUUAACAAGGUCCACGACGUCGCCUCUGACUUCUGCCGCGAGCCAGCAGUCGACCUCACCGUCGAUGACACUGUCACUGCAGUAUCCCCAGAUGUCUCCUCCUGCACCGCCAGGGCCCCGGAGAUCCUCGAGGUCGUUCAGGAUGUGUCCCCUGACUGCAUCGAGACGGCGCCUGUCGCAUGUUCGACAAAAUGCUCGUACGAGGUCGCCACCACCGACAUGGUCAAAAAGGUCUGUGAUGGCACUUCUGCCAUUCUCCUGGAGCCUGCGGUCGACCUCAACGACACCAAGCCCACCCUUGAAAUGGCCGAACCAGAAGACCAGGAAGAGUACCAGGUUGUGGCGACAGUGUCCCAGGCUAUCGACAUCACCAUGGAUGUCAAAUUUGCCACUUCUGUACCUCUCCCGCUCUUGUGGUACGGCCCUGACAUCACCAACCACUACCCCGAUGCUGCUGAUGCAUCCCUGAGUCCAAUGGUCACACGUCCGGCUGCGUCAGUGUCCUUGGAUGCCUUCUCGACCAUCUUGCUGCAGCAACAGUGUCCGUCCCCUAUUCAAGUACAGAGUGCAGCGAACGGUGCUAUUCAGGUCCUUGGCAUACUGGCGACCUGUGACUCUGGCUAUAUUUGGCGGCCACCUGACCAUCAACCAAGGAUGAGGAGCAACUUGCAGCAAUUUCUACAUGACGCUCAAUUGCAAGUUUUUCUGGUAUCUCCAGUGGAGCAGCUUACUUUCUUGGUUUUCAGUGAGCCGAAUGAUUGUUGUGAUGAGACUACUGCACAUGCUGGAAAAAGGACAAUGGAAUACAACAUUCAGUUUGUUUUUCCUACCUCUUUUGAACAAAUGCAAUGGAAAGCUGCAUGGCCAUUCGGUUCUGAGAGGAAAAUUCAAAUGCAACUCGCAGAAAAUGGGGAUGUUCUACCCCAGGGCAAGGCUCAUGGUUGCCAUGUGUGGUGGCCGCCUGAUCAGCCGCCAAGGGUGACGACCAAGUUGCACGAAUUGCAUUCUCCGGCUCAGUUACAGACUCCUAUUGUCAAUUUAAUGGAGUUCCUACCAUGGCCUUCUUUGAAACUUCAAUUCCAAGUGGCUUUGAAGACAUGCGAUUGUCAGCAUUUUAUAUCAGCCAAGUCUUGUAAUCUAUUGUUGGAGCCUGAUCAAACAAAAAAUCAUGGAGUGCUGGUGAAGUUCGGAAGAUUGCACAUUUUUUUAGUCUCUUCAGUCAAGCUGCAACCAUGGCCUUCUGGGAAUCUUCAACUUAUAGUUCUUCAUGUUAUUGUCGUUCAUGUCAAGGGAUAUAUGUUCACACAUUUCGAGCAUCAGUUCUUUUCGCAGUUACUUUUUGCUCGUAAUCAGACUGAUGAUUUUGGUUGUAUGAUUUGGGAUCCAGGAUGGAUGUUCUGCUGCACUACCAUACUCAGCUCAGGUGAUAUCACUGGGUACUUGCAUCAGAUGAUUCUUUCCAUUCUGAGAAGUUCAGCAAAAUGUACACAAGCCGAGCUAGCACAUGGAUAUAAAUAUUCACUUUUUAGUUUGCACAUAUCAACUUCUGGGACUGGGAUUGAGUGUUGUUCAUCUAUAUUGUCUACAUUCGGUGAGUCGUUGUUGCAUCUUCAUAGGGCACUGCUGCUAUUACCUUGGCCGCCACCUACUGGUGCACAUGGAUUGCAAUCGAUGGUCCUUUCCACGGAAGAAUUCAGUUUGCUGUUCAGUACACUUGUGUUGCUUUGUUUCCCUUCUGGACCAAUAUCAUGCGCGGCUGAUCAUCCAGGCUGGGCUGACGAACCGAAUGUUGUCUGUGCUGUUGUUGUCUAUUUGUUUGAGGACUAUUUGAGGUCUGUUAAUCUUGAGAUGCAACAGGCAUGGUCACCGCUACUAAAAGCUGAUUCUGAAACUUUGUCUCUGUCUACAUACAGUCUAUGGUCUGAACUACCUAUAGAAGUUAACCAAGUUAUAUACAUGAGGCAAUUUAACUACAAGGGCUUGCAAUCUUAUUCAUGCUAUGUGAUGCAGCUGCGGGAAGUCACUUGCAGGGCAACAGUUAACUCCACAGUAGUCACAAGGAACAAUAUGGACAAAGGAUCUAAUCCCCUGAUUGCUUGGCUCCAUAUAUUGAGAUUUCUAUCACAUGUUAAUUCCGCAUCUAUCGGUGCGACGAACAAGUUUGAGCAGCUCCGGGAACUUACUUUGUGCAUGUCUUGGAAUCCUGGAGAGAGGUGUGACACAACCCUAGUUGCCCUCAACAACAAGACUCGCUUCACAGGCGACUGCUACUUGGAUCACGCCAUCUCAGAGAAAAAUUCCGUCGACCACAAGUACUGCAUCGGCUUCGACGUAGACCCUACAGACAACGACUACUUCCUCGACAUCUCCUUCGACCGGGUCUCCAUUGGGAACAAAUAUUGCUACCACCUUGUUGCAGUCUACCCUGUCUUCGGCUACCACUGCAACUUCGGCCAAGUUCAAGAGCAUCGAGCGCAAUGGGAUCCGGGCGGGCAUCAGCUUGGGGUCAAGCCGAGUUUCAAGGAGGGGGGAUGUUAG
rnacentral:rRNA from 1 species